rnacentral:antisense_RNA from 1 species
CGCACAGUGAGGAGAGCAGCUGUGUGCAAGGUUGAAACAAAACGUUCAAAGCCCCCUUGGAAGCCCAUUCACAGGUGUGUGACUGUGAACCACAUCGUAAUCUCCUAGAAAGCAAGAACAUCAGGCUUACAUUUUUCACUUGCCUCUCAGGGCUCAGUGCUCUGCAGUAUAUACAUUGAGGAAACUGGGCCCUGACACAUUAACUUGCCCAAAAGAUCACAGUGGGCAACAUUCUAGAGCACAAACAAUGGAAGCUGACAGCAAUGUCAGCAAAGAUGGAAAACAGAACGUGGAGAGAGAUGUAGCUUACUAGAGCCCUGUGGCUUCAGUCCCCACCAGGAAUGUCGUUUAAGAGGAAGGUGAUCAAGCACAAAUUCACAUUUGCUUGAGGAAGAAUACAAAUGAUAUAUCACACACUAACUGUGUGCACAGCACUCUACCUAAAGAUCAGCGCUAACAGAGGAAUAAGCAGAGGCCUCCAGGAGCAAAGAGUGAAGAGUCUGGCAAGGCUUCAAGUACAGGGGUAAGUGGAUGGAGCUUUCACUGUAGAAUCUUUCCUGGAGAAAAAGCAAACAGUGGGGCAACAAUAAAGGCAUUAAAAAUAACUGUCAAGUUGAAGAAAAACUCCCUGAGGCCUCCCCAGAAGCCAAGCAGAUGCCGGUGCCAUGACUGUAUAGCCUGCACAACCAUCUGAAGUUUAUCAAUACAUGAUCUCCUCAAAAACGAAAGAAAUAAAACAAGUAUCUGCAAUU